rnacentral:rRNA from 1 species
AUUGAACGCUGGCGGCAGGCCUAACACAUGCAAGUCGAACGCGUGGCGGACGGGUGAGUAAUGUCUGGGAAACUGCCUGAUGGAGGGGGAUAACUACUGGAAACGGUAGCUAAUACCGCAUACCAUCGGAUGUGCCCAGAUGGGAUUAGCUAGUAGGUGGGGUAAAGGCUCACCUAGGCGACGAUCCCUAGCUGGUCUUAGAGGAUGACCAGCCACACUGGAAAUGAGACACGGGCCAGACUCCUAAGGGAGGCAGCAGGGGGGAAUAUUGCACAAUGGGGGCAAGCCUGAGGCAGCCAUGCCGCGGGUAUGAAGAAGGCCUUCGGGUUGUAAAGGACUUUCAGCGGGGAGGCGGUACCCGCAGAAGAAGGACCGGCUAACUCCGUGCCAGCAGCCGCGGUAAUUC